rnacentral:snoRNA from 1 species
UCAUAAUGAUGAAUUUCUUUUUAGCUUUUUUUCUGGCAUCUCUAAUGUUAGGACAGGCGUUUAAGUACUCCGUUCGAUGAAUACAAUUCAUGACUCUAUCUGACA